AGGUAGCGCAGCGGCCAGCUCGGCGGCCAUCUUUGUAAGGUCAGGUAGCGCCGGCGGCCAUCUUUGUAAGGUGAGGUAGCGCCCGGGGCCAAUAUUGAAGGGCCAGGGCGCUCGGCGGCCAUCUUUGUAAGGUCAGGUAGCGCCGGCGGCCAUAUUUGUCAGGUCAAAUCGAGCAGCAGCCACCUUUGUCAGGUAAAUGUGCAUUUUCAGUGAAACAUCAACAGCUGGGAAGAUAACAGCAUGGAAGAAACUGUCCUGAAUCUGGAGGUAAAUGUGUAUUUUCAGUGAACCAUCAACAGCUGGGAAGAUAACAGCAUGGAAGAAACUGUCCUGAAUCUGGAGACUGAAACACACUUGCGGCCAUUUGUUUUGCUUUACAUGAGAUUUGUGGUUGGCCCGCUGCAAAAAUUGAUGUAACCCCAGCAACCAGUCCUGCCUCCACAUGCAAAUAUUUGCAUGUUUUAGAAAUAUACAGCAAAACUUGACAACUCCUUCUUGGUUCGACAUCAAUCAAAGUGAAGCAAUACUAUCUGGACAUUUGGUGCAACAAUGCGAUGUUUGUUCAUCAAUGGGGUAUUGGUAUUCCUGACAAAAACAGGAACAAUUCAAAUCCCUUAUUGCACUUGAAAAGGCAUUGCCAAUUUACUGUGGUGCAUGAAAUCCCAUUGUGUUAUUAUCGAGUUGUAGAUUUCUCAGCCCACAGAAUCCAUGUUGAUCUUGAAAAACUCAUCUACACUCCAUCCACGAUCGCAAGAAACGGCAGUGAAUUGUGGAUGCAGCCCAGACCAUCACGCAAACCAACAUCCCUUCCAUUGACUCCUCAAGCUGCCUCGGCAAGGCCAGCAGCAUAAUCAAGGACGAGUCGCACCCUGGACACUCCCUCUUCUCCCCUCUCCCAUCGGGCAAAAGGUAUAGUUGUGUGAAAAUACACACCUCCAGAGUCAGGGACUGUAUCUUCAAGCUACUAUCAGGCAACUGAACCAUCCUACCCCAACCGGAGAGCAGUGCUGAACUAUUAUCUGCAUUGUUGGUGACCCUCAGACUAUCUUUGAUCGGACUUUACUGGAUUUAUCUUGCACUAAAAUGGAUUCCGUUUACAAUCUAUCUAUACACUGUAAAUGGCUCAAUUGUAAUCAUGUAUUGUCUUUCCACUGACUGGUUAGCACAACAAAAAGCUUUUCACUGUACUUUGGUACGUGACAAUAAACUAAACUCAACUGAACUGAACUUAAACCUAUGUCCUCU